rnacentral:lncRNA from 1 species
GCAAAUCUCUCUUCUUCCUGAAAGAAAAAACUCCAAGUCAUCUGAAAAAGUAUCUGAAUCCAUUGGUAAGAAGUCAUGUAAUAAAGAAUUUCAACCAUCUUCUACGAUUUCUGAGAUAACAACUACUGCAAAGGCAAUGAAACCUAAAAUCCGUGAGGUGCCAUCUUCAACCCUGUGUAAUAAAAAAAUUCAAUCAUCUUCCAAGAUUUCUGAGGUAACAACUACUGCAAAGGCAAUGAAACCUAAAAUCCGUGACGUGCUAUCUUCCAGUCCGUGUAAUAAAAAAAUUCAAUCAUCUUCCAAGUUUGAUGAUACAAUGAUUACUGCAAUAGCAGAGAAACCUAAAAUCCGUGAUGUGUUAUCUUCCACCCCAGGAGAAGGUGG